AGACGGGGUUUUCCGGCGCCGCGUCAGCCUUUCUGAUCGGGGCGCCCUUGUGGGUUACGACGGUCUUCGCCGGCGCUUCCCCCCGCGAUGCCGGGGUGGAAAGCGCCAUGAACUUUUCGCGUUUCAGCCGCACCUGGAUCAUGUGCGGACAGCGCUGGUCGU
rnacentral:sRNA from 1 species